rnacentral:snoRNA from 1 species
AUGCAAACUCGAUCACUAGCUCUGCGUGGUGUGGCAGAAGCGAAGGGAACCAGGUUUGCAAAAGCAGUUGUAGUGAUAGAGAUGUAUUAGCCUCACAUGCUACUGAGGUGGCCCAUUCUAUCCUAGUACAGUU